rnacentral:rRNA from 1 species
UGGGUAAUCUUGUGAAACUUCAUCGUGAUGGGGAUAGAGCAUUGCAAUUAUUGCUCUUCAACGAGGAAUCCCUAGUAAGCGUGAGUCAUCAGCUCACGUUGAUUACGUCCCUGCCCUUUGUACACACCGCCCGUCGCUACUACCGAUUGAAUGGCUUAGUGAGACCCUCGGAUCGACUCAUGGAAACCUUCACGGGUAUCUAUUUGUUGAAAAGUUGGUCAAACUUGGUCAUUUAGAGGAAGUAAAAGUCGUAACAAGGUAGCCGUAGGUGAACCUGCGGAAGGAUCAUU